rnacentral:rRNA from 1 species
GAUGAACGCUGGCUACAGGCUUAACACAUGCAAGUCGAGGGGAAACGACGGGGAAGCUUGCUUUCCCGGGCGUCGACCGGCGCACGGGUGAGUAACGUGUAUCCAACUUGCCUCUGACUGAGGGAUAACCCGCCGAAAGUCGGCCUAAUACCUCGUGGCAUCGUCUGGGGGCAUCUAAGGAAGAUUAAAGAUUUCGUGGGUCAGGGAUGGGGUUGCGUCGGAUUGGCUUGUUGGCGGGGUAACGGCCCACUAAGGGUAAGAUCAGUAGGGAUUGUGAGGGGAAGGUCCCCCACAGGGGAACUGGGACACGGUCCAAACUCCUACGGGAGGGAGCAGUGAGGAAGAUAGGACAAGGGGCGGGAGCCUGAACCAGCCAAGUAUCAUGCAGGAGGACGGCCCUAUGGGUUGUAAACUGCUUUUAUGCAGGGACAAAGUGAGGGACGGGUCCGUCAUUGCAGGUACCGCAUGAAUAAGGACCGGCUAAUUCCGUG